rfam:Nanohaloarchaea archaeon SG9, complete genome.
AGCGGGGUGGAGCAGCCAGGAGUGCUCGUCGGGCUCAUAACCCGGAGGUCCGUGGUUCAAAUCCACGCCCCGCUA